AGAGUUUGAUCCUGGCUCAGGAUGAACGCUAGCGGGAGGCCUAAUACAUGCAAGUCGAGCGGUAGAGUGACUUCGGUUGCUUGAGAGCGGCGCACGGGUGAGUAACGCGUACAUGACCUACCUUUAAGACUGGGAUAGCCCUGGGAAACUGGGAUUAAUACCGGAUGUGAUAAUACGUAUAGAGAUGUAUUAUUAAAGUUGAGGCGCUUAGAGAUGGAUGUGCGUCUGAUUAGCUAGUUGGUAGGGUAACGGCCUACCAAGGCGACGAUCAGUAGGGGGCGUGAGAGCGUGGCCCCCCACACGGGUACUGAGACACGGACCCGACUCCUACGGGAGGCAGCAGUAAGGAAUAUUGGUCAAUGGACGGAAGUCUGAACCAGCCAUCCCGCGUGCAGGAUGACUGCCCUAUGGGUUGUAAACUGCUUUUAGCAGAGACGAAACGCCUUCAUUUAUGGGGGUCUGACGGUAUCUGCAGAAUAAGCACCGGCUAACUCCGUGCCAGCAGCCGCGGUAAUACGGAGGGUGCAAGCGUUAUCCGGAAUCACUGGGUUUAAAGGGUGCGUAGGCGGAUAUUUAAGUCAGUGGUGAAAUCUUGUCGCUUAACGAUAAAAUUGCCAUUGAUACUGAAUGUCUUGAAUUGGGUUGAGGUUAGCGGAAUGUGACAUGUAGCGGUGAAAUGCAUAGAUAUGUCAUGGAACACCAAUUGCGAAGGCAGCUAGCUGGGCCUUGAUUGACGCUGAGGCACGAAAGCGUGGGUAGCGAACAGGAUUAGAUACCCUGGUAGUCCACGCCCUAAACGAUGCUAACUCGAUG
rnacentral:rRNA from 1 species